rnacentral:tRNA from 1 species
CGGGAUGGCGGAAUGGUAGACGCGGCGGACUUAAAAUCCGCUGUUAGAAAUAACGUGUGGGUUCGAGUCCCUCUCCCGGC